CUGGAAUCCGGGGUUCAGAGAUCGCCGGUGUUUUUUUUGUCUGCUCCCCUGCAAGGGAGCGAGGGGCGGCCCGUGAUCGGACUCACGCGACGGCUAAAGCCGAGCGCGUCUACUCCCGCGAAAGCCGAGCAGACUAUUUGGCAUUUGGCAUCUGCUACCAAUUUGCGAGAGGUUGAAGACCACCGGAAGUUUGACGUACUUCGUUUGUUCAUAGGGCGGCGAGACACACGGAUCUAAGGACGGAUGGGUACGGGAUCCCGCCGCCUUCGGGGCCGAGCGCGCCUCGACGGAUUGACGAUUUAUCAUCAGGAUCAAAUGACGAAGAGAUUUUUUAAUACCCCUCCUGCAGAUAGUGCAGUGAACCAUGCACACACCUGGUCUACAUAUAUUUCUGACUUCCCAAGGACGAGGACAACAAUUGUCGACCGAUAGGCCAGCAGAUGAACUUCGCAACGAACACAUCAAGAUUGCUCACGGGUUAAUGGCAUGUAUAGCUAAAUACUUUGACGGAAGGACGCCGAAGGCAAAGGGAUGGCAGAAUUGGUUCCCCAAAGCUCACCAACGGCCCUUGGGUUUGCAGCAGGGCUUCAAGAGGGAUACAGGCGCUACAUUAUGUGAGGCAGUGGAUGGGGACAAAACUACAGAGGAGUCUAUCGCCAGUACAUAUGCAGAAACCGUCAUAUCAAAACGACGGAUAAAAUCAACUAACAGUAUGAGCGUUUUUCUGAUGCAACAGUUAGGAGAUGAGAUCUACCAAUCAAGGAUGAUCCUUCUUUAUGAAGCUUUGGGAUUAGCUGGGAACAUUGGGCAACUCCCUGCAAAAUUUAAGAUGUGCCAGACUGAUUGCUGAGAAGGGGGCAAAUAUAGCUUGGUCAGACUAUCACUAUUAGCACCGCCACAAUCAAGAAGUCAGAAGGGGGUCAUUUGCAACGGCCUUGUAAAUCAAACCGUGGUCGUUCCCAUUAUCAAAGAACUUAUGGGAGACUCGUAAUUUUCCUGAGAACUAUCUGCAGGUUAUGUAAUAUGUAUUUUAUGGAACUUUUUUCGUAUGCUUAGAGUGUGUAUUGCAUGCGGUAUGUGUCAGGAACUUGACCUUGGGCAACGCCAGUGACUUUAGUCCCACCUCGGAUAUGGGAGGAGGCUAGGAGCUUCUUAUAAGGGAGAGUG